GAAGAAAGCUGGCGGCGUGCCUAAUACAUGCAAGUUGAGCGAUGAAGAUUGGUGCUUGCACCAAUUUGAAGAGCAGCGAACGGGUGAGUAACGCGUGGGGAAUCUGCCUUUGAGCGGGGGACAACAUUUGGAAACGAAUGCUAAUACCGCAUAACAACUUUAAACAUAAGUUUUAAGUUUGAAAGAUGCAAUUGCAUCACUCAAAGAUGAUCCCGCGUUGUAUUAGCUAGUUGGUGAGGUAAAGGCUCACCAAGGCGAUGAUACAUAGCCGACCUGAGAGGGUGAUCGGCCACAUUGGGACUGAGACACGGCCCAAACUCCUACGGGAGGCAGCAGUAGGGAAUCUUCGGCAAUGGACGAAAGUCUGACCGAGCAACGCCGCGUGAGGGAAGAAGGUUUUCGGAUCGUAAAACUCUGUUGGUAGAGAAGAACGUUGGUGAGAGUGGAAAGCUCAUCAAGUGACGGUAACUACCCAGAAAGGGACGGCUAACUACGUG
rnacentral:rRNA from 1 species